rnacentral:rRNA from 1 species
GUAGUCUGNAACCCGACUACAUGAAGCUGGAAUCGCUAGUAAUCGCGAAUCAGAAUGUCGCGGUGAAUACGUUCCCGGGUCUUGUACACACCGCCCGUCACACCAUGGGAGUCGGAAAUGCCCGAAGUCAGUGACCCAACCGUAAGGAGGGAGCUGCCGAAGGUGGAGCCGGUAACUGGGGUGAAGUCGUAACAAGGUAUC